rnacentral:rRNA from 1 species
UACAGAGGGUGCGAGCGUUAAUCGGAAUUACUGGGCGUAAAGCGCACGUAGUCGGCUUUGCAAGUCGGGUGUGAAAUCCCCGGGCUCAACCCGGGAACUGCGUCUGAGACUGGAAGGCUCGAAUCCGGGAGAGGGAUGCGGAAUUCCAGGUGUAGCGGUGAAAUGCGUAGAUAUCUGGAGGAACACCGGUGGCGAAGGCGGCUCACUGGCCGGUACUGGACGCUGAUGCGCGAAAGCGUGGGGAGCAA